rnacentral:rRNA from 1 species
GAUGAACGCUGGCGGCGUGCUUAACACAUGCAAGUCGAGCGAAGCGCUUUACUUGGAUUUCUUCGGAAUGACGAGUAUUGUGACUGAGCGGCGGACGGGUGAGUAACGCGUGGGUAACCUGCCUCAUACAGGGGGAUAACAGUUAGAAAUGACUGCUAAUACCGCAUAAGACCACAGCACCGCAUGGUGCAGAGGUAAAAACUCCGGUGGUAUGAGAUGGACCCGCGUCUGAUUAGCUGGUUGGUGGGGUAACGGCCUACCAAGGCGACGAUCAGUAGCCGGCCUGAGAGGGCGACCGGCCACAUUGGGACUGAGACACGGCCCAAACUCCUACGGGAGGCAGCAGUGGGGAAUAUUGCACAAUGGGGGAAACCCUGAUGCAGCGACGCCGCGUGAAGGAAGAAGUAUUUCGGUAUGUAAACUUCUAUCAGCAGGGAAGAAAAUGACGGUACCUGACUAAGAAGCCCCGGCUAACUACGUGCCAGCAGCCGCGGUAAGAC